UACGUAGGGUGCAAGCGUUAUCCGGAUUCACUGGGUUUAAAGGGUGCGUAGGUGGGUUGGUAAGUCAGUGGUGAAAUCUCCGAGCUUAACUUGGAAACUGCCAUUGAUACUAUCAGUCUUGAAUACCGUGGAGGUCAGCGGAAUAUGUCAUGUAGCGGUGAAAUGCUUAGAUAUGACAUAGAACACCAAUUGCGAAGGCAGCUGACUACGCGAAUAUUGACACUGAUGCACGAAAGCGUGGGGAUCAAACAGGAUUAGAUACCCGUUA
rnacentral:rRNA from 1 species